rnacentral:lncRNA from 1 species
CAGCUUAAUUUGAGAUUGUUUGUUUCGUGGAAGUAUCAGCGAUACAUAGAUCAAGUUGCUAUUUUAAUUUUUUUAAUAAAAAAGCUUUGAACUUGAAGCAUCAGAUACCAAUCAUCAAGUUCUUAUCCAAUUAUAUGCUAAGCAUGUUCAGUAAAUUAAUUUUUAUAUUUUUAUGAGCGAGAAGAAAAAUAUAAUGCAUAAAUUUCACAAAAACAGACGAUGCAUACACUAAUUUCUAUAAAAAAAUAAAUAAAUAAAUAAAUAAAAUUUUUUGUACGUAAUUAAUUUACAAUUUAAAGUAGAUGCGUCGUUGUUGGCUGAGUCAAAAUAAAUAAAUUUAAAAAUUAAAUAAUACAAUUAAUAUUUUAAAAGGCUCAAUAAUUGACUCAAAAUAAUUUAUAAUUUAUG